rnacentral:rRNA from 1 species
UACGUAGGGACCGAGCGUUGUCCGGAAUCAUUGGGCGUAAAGAGCGUGUAGGCGGCUCGCUAAGUCUUGCGUGAAAUCUCGGGGCUCAACCCCGAGCGGUCGUGAGAAACUGGCGGGCUAGAGUGCGGGAGAGGAGAGUGGAAUUCCUGGUGUAGCGGUGAAAUGCGCAGAUAUCAGGAGGAACACCGGUGGCGAAGGCGGGUCUCUGGGCCGAUAUUGACGCUGAGGAGCGAAAGCGUGGGGAGCGAACAGG